rnacentral:rRNA from 1 species
UACGUAGGGGCAAGCGUUGUCCGGAAUCAUUGGCGUAAGCGCACGUAGGCGGACUGUUAGUCGGGGUGAAAUCCUGGGCUCAACCUCAGAAUUGCCUCCGAUACUGGCAGUCUCGAGUGCGGGAGAGGUGAGUGGAAUUCCCAGUGUAGAGGUGAAAUUCGUAGAUAUUGGGAAGAACACCAGUGGCGAAGGCGGCUCACUGGCCCGUAACUGACGCUGAGGUGCGAAGCGUGGG